rnacentral:lncRNA from 1 species
AAAAAAAAAAAAAAUAUAGUCAAUUACCCCCCUAUGACGUGGCAUGACUUUUUUGACCAUGUGUCAGUGCCACGUGGCAGUUAACGGCCACAUCAGCAUGUUGGAUGGAGGAAAUUAACGGAGGGGGGUAAUUGACAGACGCUUGACAAUUUCAGGGGGGUUUUUGACAUUUUGCAAAAUUCAGGGGGGUUUUUGACGAAAGUUACAAUUUCAGGGGGGUAAUUGACUAUUUACUCAAUGAUAUAUAUUUAACUUUAAUAAUAAUUUUGGACUUAUUAAUAGAAACUUCAAUAAUUUUGGCCUUGCUAUCCCUUUAGGGUCGGCUAACCCCAUUAGGCAAGCCUAAUUGUCUUCUUUUUUUUUUGGUUCAAAAGCCUAGGUAACUAGAUAUAAAUGAGGUGUCAAAAUUCGAACUCGGACUCAUGCGUACAUUAUAUUAAACUCGUGAUUUUAAUUUUCUUUAUAUUAUAAAUCGGAUAUUAUUAACGUAUAAAUGUAGAAAUUAAUCCCUCAAACUUAAUGAAACUCUAAUCAAUGGUGAAACCCUUCUUCAACGUGAUAUAACAUAUCAUGAAACAAUUCCUUUGGUUAAAUUGAAAAUAAACGAGGGUUUAAUUCGAACAUCGAUCUUCAUUUAUUGUAAUAUUUCUAUCAACUGAGUUAUGCUCCACAAAACAAUUGAAAUUAUAAUUUACCAUUUCAUCCUUGUUUUUGCAUACAUUAUUUUAGAAUUUAUUUUAGAAUCACUCCAAGUAUUUGCCAACAAAAAAGCAAAGAAUUUGGUAAAAAAAAUAAAUAAAGCAAAAAGAAAGAAUAAUUCCAAUAGGUACCACCCUUAUAUUUUAGAGAAUGCUAUUUGAACAAUAAUUUGGUACAACCUACUUGACAACCUUCAUUUUCUCUCUUUUCAUUGGUCAAAAAUAAUAGAGAGAGAAAAAAGAAGAGAGAGUAAGAAUAUAACGUGAAUAUAAGAGAGAAAGUUGUCACAGUGGUCGUUCAAAUAUCAUUUCUCUAUAUUUUAAUGACAAUAUUCAUCAAUUUUCAAUUCAUUUGCUUAUGACUCACCACCUCUUCACUCGCACUCAACUCCCCCAACUCGCGCCUUUCAUUCAUCACCAUCUCAAGAAAACAGUCAUCAUCCCCCAAUUCUUUUCAACAACCCUCCGCCGCACCCACACCCACACCCUACCUCCAAUGGACGCGCAUCCACCAGAUUCCUCCUCCGCCACCCCCGCCGCCGCCGUCGAAGACUUCAUUCACAUCCACGAUCUCAAAAUGGAGAGCUUAUCCGAUAGCAUGGUUCGGAUCGAUGAUCAUUCUUCGGAUUCCGUCGAUGCAGCAGCUUCGUCUGCUCCUCCGGAUGCCGGAGAAGACGCCGUCGCCGCGGUGGAUUCAGAUCGACAGAAAGUUACGCUUCCUGAGGAGUUGUCGAGGAAUGUAAUUGUGUUGUCUUGUGAAUCUUCUGCUGAAGGUGGUGUUUGCGAUGUUUAUUUGGUUGGUACUGCUCAUGUUUCUGAGGUAAAUUCUUUUUAUUGAUUUUGAUUCUGAUUUUGCUAUGUUUUUUUGUAUGUUAGUUCCAUGUAGCACGGAUACUCAUCGGAUUAGGUUUGAUUAGGUGUCUCCUGAUGUAUGCAUCCGACACCGACACAUAAUUACUAUUUAUGUCAUUUUCUCAAAUUAUUAUCAGCGUUGACGUGUGAGUAUUCACGUGUUAGUUGCAUUGUGUUUUUCAUUGUCUACAUUCAUAACAAUGAAUUAGGGUUUUACUUACAAUACAAAAACCAACUCAACUGAUUUCAUUUAUAAUGAUAGUUUUAAUAUAAGAUUGAAUAUAAUAUAAAACUUGGGAACUACUCCCUCGGUCCUUUCGUAUGAGCAACUGUUGACUCCAUAUGGAUGUAGUUAAGAGGAUUGAUUUUGCCGUCUGUAAAGGGUUAGCCGCGCAACUUGUUAUCUGCUUGCCUUUCAUUUAUGUGUAAUUUUUUAUUCUUAUUGUAGCUGCAGGAAGUUGGUAGUGUAGUUAAUGUGUACAUUUUGGGAAUGACUGUUACUAAAUUACCCUUUGUGUGAAUAAAUGUAUUUACAGUUGACUUUUCAUAUUCCAAAGCACAGUAGUAGUAUUAAUUAGGGUUAUGUUUGUAAAAAAAAGUCUAGAAACAUGAGAGAGAUUACUUUUAGCGACAAAUAUUAUCUCUCAAUAGGUGCUUAUAAUAUAGGAUGGAGCUUACAAUUAAGGACAAAGGGCUGGAUGUACCAAGAAUGUGAUCUACCACUUGCUGGCAAUCAGGUUCAAUUGACACCGUAGUAAUACCCAUUUCACUAGGCCAAAGCAUAGCUUCCUCUAGACCCCAAGCUUCUGCUUUGUGGAGGUGACAACUCGUGGAACCAAGAUGUUUUCGCUUAUAUAAAUUCACGCUUAUCGCCACUUAAACACAUUGCUGCUCCAAAUCACCGUUGGUGCUUAAAGAUUUCCACAUCUAUGUGGCACUUGACUUGUCAUAUUGCUGGUUUUUCCCAUUUCAGUCCUGAAUUACCACUGACGGCACCAGCCCCCCUCCCUGCAUAAUCCCGAACCUGCUGCCACUGCCGCGGACUGUCACGUGCGAUCUGUAUGACUCAGACGAGCAUAGCUCCACAUUGUUCCACAGUUUCUCGUUCUUUGUUUCCAUAUAACACCAAAAGGCCAUCACAAACUGCUGCAUGUGGUGCUGAUGCAACAUGGCCAGCAGGUGAAAAAAUAACGAUAUGAAACCAUCCGCAAUGUCCAGCCAUCAUUGAAUAAAAGACCGUAAACCUGCUUCAGCCCACACUUCCUGUACCUUGUUACAACAAAAAAAAAAAACAUGCCAAUCGUUUUCUUAGCAACUCUCACAGUGAGCUAUCCAAGCAAUUUACUCCCCGUGAUUGUAGUUGUUGUCGUGUAGGAAGACAGCCCCUAACCGCACACCAUAGAAACAGUCACCUUCUGUGGUAUUCUUAGUCCCCACAAUUUCGUCCAGUUACCAUUCAUUUGGAGAUCUCUGUUAUCCACAAGCUGCUCCGUUAUGAAAUAGUGAGCCAAUUUGACACUAUAUUCGCUGUAUUGAGUUAAUUUCCAAACAUAUUCAUCCUCAAGUACUUCACUAUAAAUUGGCAUGGAUAGGAUUUGAUUAGCAUCACUGUGAUUAAAUGUCUCCAUGAUCACUUCUCGCCGCCGAUAACAAUUGGAAUUCUAUUGUGUUAUUUCUUUGCAAAAAUAAAUGGCUGACUUCUUCUAAUUAUAUUCUUGUGUUUUUAUUCAUUUCAAUUGGAAUUGCCUUUUGUUUUGUUAUGUAAAAUGCAUAGUUCUAAAUUGCGGUUGUAAACCUUGAUACUGCUGCAAAAUGUAGGCAUUUACUUUGGUCGUUGUCGUCCCAAUUGAAUUCACUACCGUUGAAAUGGUGGUGAAAUGAUAGAGUUAAUGCUUACUAUUUUUGUUGAACUAUGUUGCAGGAAUCAAGCAAAGAAGUUCAAGCUAUUGUCAGUUUACUGAAACCAGAGGUGUUUUUCCCUUUCAACUCCAGGCUGAGCUGCCUGAUUUUGAUUUCAUGCUGUUUCCCUUUCUUUUACUUGUACAUUUUUAAUGAUGAAAGCAUAUGGUUGGCUUUUGUUUGCUGCAGGCUGUCUUCCUUGAAUUGUGCUCGAGUCGUGUGCAAGUGCUUACCCUUCAAAAUCUUAAGGUCUCUACUUUUAAACUUAUUUUACAAUGAGCAAGGUUUGCUAUGCACUAUUUGGUACACUCUUUCUAGAGCAAAUUUUCGUGGGUCCCACUAAAAAACAGGACCUGUGUUUGGUUCUUCGAUUACGGAUAUUGAUUUUGGUUAAUACCUAAUUGAAUGUUAAGGGUCUAUUUGGAUCAACAGGGGGAAAGGUUUAUGGAGGGGCAGGAGAGGGUCUGUUCGGUUUGACGUGGGGAGGGGAAGUGUAAAAUUACAUUUUCCACCUUUGUAAUAUUUAAGGUCGUGUUAAAUAAAAAGAUAUUUGAGUCUAAAUUGUAAAUCAAUAUUUCUUUCCUCCAAAACCCCCAUGUUUGGAGGGGUAUAAAAUUAGCUCCGCAGGGAUUUUGCUCCCCUCCCCUCUAACCAAACAAGUAAUUUUUGUUGUUUCGUACAUUCACGUAAAAAUGAGUUUAACAUUAAAUUUAAGGCUAAAAUUACGUUUGGAGUAAAAAGCAUCAUCAAAUCCCAAUAAUAUCAGUUUUGGAAGUAAAAACAAUUCAAUAUAUGUCACUGAUGUUGAAUAUCAACAUGCUUCAGUAGAUGAGUGCAGGGUUGAAGGGUUAAGUAUAUGAUUGUUGAAUAUUUCUAUUGCUUACUGGUGUUGUACUCACUAAAAGAUGAUCAUCAUCGUCAUAUUAUUUUACAUAUUUGAUUUUUUAUAAUAUAUCUUUACUCAUUUACCUUUAUUUUUUAAACUUUUAAGCUUGCAACUUAUGAGUAUUUUAUUUUUUUAUUUUUAAAUAGUAUUUUAUUCUUCUUUGUGUAUAAUAAAGAAGGCCAAAAAUCAUCUUUUCUUUUAGUAAUAAAAUUAUAAUUGUAAUCAUUUUAGUGGUCUAUAAAAUAUUUUUCAACUAUAAAUUCAUCACAAUGUUGGUUCUCAUUCAGUUUUAUUUAUUUUCAUUCAGGUACCUACUAUGAGAGAAAUGAUUGAAUUGUUGAAGAAAAACCGUAACAUGUUUGAAGUACUUUAUGGCUGGUUCCUUGCCAAGGCAUGUUUCUGUUUUUGACAAUCAUAUUUAUCAUCCCUAUUACAUUUUCAACUAUUAAUCGUUCAUUCCUUUUUAUUCAAGAAUGAUGUACUGUAUUUCUCAUGUACGAUGCUUUUUUCUUCCCAUGAAUACCUGACAGAUUGCCAGUAAGCUUGAGGUCUUUCCUGGGUCUGAGUUUCGUGUGGCAUAUGAAGAAGCAAUCAAGUAUGGUGGCAGGGUGAUACUCGGUGACCGCCCUGUACAGGUUGGAUACAUUUUUUUUUUAGGAAAAGCCACUGAUAUUACAUAUGCAUAAUGUCGUGUAUUAUCCAUUCUUAGCAUGUUUUCAGUUUUUGAUGUUUUCUUGAAUCUUUAGUUAGGCUACUAGUAGUAGUAGUAUACAUGCAUCACUUUUUUUUGUUCGCUCUCUGCUGUAAGAAUUUCCCACAUCUCCUUUGUGCUAUUUCUGUAGUCGUAUACACUUCAUAUUAAAUAAGGGGCAUAAUGCAUUAUGCUCACACCAUUAUGGGAUCUGGAGAGUAGAUCCACUGUGUAUGGUGUCUCAUCACAGCUGUAAGCAAAAAGGCUGUUAUAGUGACUACCACCAUGUCACAUAGCCUACUGUUUUAAUAGUUUUCUCACUAUUGCAUAAAGGCCUACUCUGUAACACUUGAACCCUCCAACAUAAAUCUGUCUUUUUCCUCAACUUAUGAAUCUGCUUAAAAUGCUUAUCGGAAAAUAUUUCUAUAGUUAUUUGAGAAAUAUUGAUAUGUACUUUGGUAGCAUAGUGAAUGAAAGGGGAAAACUGAAAACAAAAUAUUUGUGUUUUUUUUGUAGAAGUUUUAUUCAUUUAUUUUUUUCAAUAUUUGCAGUUUUAUCAAAGUGCUUUCAGCUUGGUUUAAUUGUAUGAUUAUGUUUUAGAAGUUUCUUAUUACUGUAUUAAUCGGUUUUGAUUUGGAUCAAGACAGAUUACAUUGAAGAGAACAUGGAGUAAGAUGCCACUUUGGUACAAGACAAAAUUGGUGUACUCUUUACUUUUCCAAGCAGUUUUUUUACCCAGCUCUGAUGAUCUUAAUAACAUGGUAUAUGUCAUGAUCUUCAUACACUAGUGAUAAGCGUGAAUUGAUCAUUUUUGUGCAAAGUUCUUGUGUAUAUACCCUAACAUGGGUUUGCUUUGCGUCUGCAGCUGAAGGAAAUGGAUGACAGUGACAUGCUGACUCUUGUUAUUCAAGAAAUGAGUAAAGAGUUUCCAACUUUAAUGGAGACCCUUGUCCAUGAACGAGAUCAGUAAGUUUUAUUGCACAUAGUUAAACUUAAAAGUUUCAUUCAUGGUGUCUGUCUCGUGUCACUUGGACUUCUUACCAAGUGCCUCUUUUGUUUCAGAGCAUAGGAUACAUAAAUACUUUUGAAUUGAACAUACUGUAGAGUUAUUUUGGGGCUGAUAUCAUCCAGUUAUGCCUUUUAAAACUAACUAGGGCACUAGCAUCGUGGGGUUUAGACUAAAAAGUCUCUUCAUUGGUGCAAUUAAUAGUAAAAUUAUGUAUUUAUGUCGUGUCUUAUAUUAUGUAUGAUUUAUCUAUUUUGCGUCUAUCCAGGUACAUGUCCUCCACGUUAUUAAAAGUGGCAAGUGAGAGCAGAUCAGUUGUGGCUGUUGUUGGAAAGGGGCAUCUACAAGGAAUGAAAAAGAAUUGGAAGCAACCUGUUGUGGUAUGUGAACAUUCAGUUAUUCUGUUAUAUAAUCGUAAUAAAUGCUAGUCUGUCAUGGGUGCACUUCAAAGCAAAUACUUUGGAAUUUAUAUGUAUAUUUAGCUCAAAAAGUAUUCGUAGACACUUCUAUUUUACCGAUCCUAACACACACGUGCUUUGUUGUUUCUGUCAUUCAAAAUUGUAGUAUCAUUCUUAUUAUAUUAGUGAUUGACAGAUUUUCUUACCGCAAUGUACCAUAUUGUUAACAGAUAAAGGAUCUUAUGACAGUUCCAUCUCCCAAACCAGCUAUCUCUGCAAUGAGAGUCUUUACAUCUGUAGGUGUUGGCGUGGCUGGGGUUGCCAUAAUAUCAGGCAUCUAUCUUUCAUGCAAGAAAUGACUUCUUUAGGUAGAGACAUUGUCAUGAUUGUCAUCUUCAGGAACGUUUGGUAUAUGAAUUGAAAUGUAUACAUGUUGAGUCAAGUUAUACCAUCAUCAACAAAGUUGGUGCAUAAGCCAUUUAAUUUAAUUUGUUUUAUUUUUUUUGGAUCAAGCAUUGUCAUCCCUCACCCCCUAACCCCUAUCAAAUCAUACACAAUCACAUUGGUAGCGUUUACAUUUACAUAUUAAAAUCAGAUUGAACAAAAUAUUUGGUAGUAUGCAAUAUGUAUUGCAUAUUGAAAACAAAAUAGAAUAAGACGUGGUAGCAAAAGUGAUUUUUAACUCCACAAAAAAACAGUAUAACUGGAAUCAAGUUGAACAUUGAUUUCAUUUUCUAUACUGACAUAGUUUGUGGAGGAGUUAGAUGGGGAUAGAGAAUUUUGCAAAUAUUAAAAUUGGUAAUGAUGCCAAGUGGAAGAUAAUUUGAAUAACCUUGAUUCAGAUGAGUUGAUUUUAUAUAUGGAAAAAUAGUUAAAUAGUGUACAUCUGAAUCUUAAUGUAACCCAUGUCAGCAAAUUGAUGGAUUUACAAUACUAUAAAAAAAAUUGUUGGUUUUUGCUUCAUAUUUUCUGGUUGUGAGGGAAAGACCAAAGUGCAGAAUGGUCUUCAAUGCCAGAUGCCAUGGCGGCCGAAAUAUAAGUGCAACAAUCAUAAUCGUGGCUAUUCGUACGCAAAGAUGAGAGUAAUGACCAAAUAUUAAGAGUCCCCUAGUCUCUCUUGCCCACCAUUACAACAACUCUUGCAAAUCAAUCUGAAAUGCUUUGCAAAGUUGCAAUCCUCCAAAUAAACACAAUAAUGUGUCCUUGGGAGAUAGGAGAACUUUGCAGAAUCUUUGUAAUGAUUUCUGUGGAAGUUUACAAGAGGAUUUAGUUUAACACAAGCUUUACAUGAAUAGAUUCCAACUAGUAUAAUUAGAGUUCAUUUUACUUGAUCAAAAAAGGAGUUCAUUUUGAUUCCAGGGUAGGAUUGUUACAUCAAACAAAGAGAAUGCUUUGCUAUUUUUGCUUGGUGCAAGCGCACGCUUCAUUGUAGACGCUACUUUGUUCAUUUGACGGCACUUUCGGGAUUUAAACCCUAGACCUUGUAUAUUGUAUACAUUGUCUAAACCAACUGAGCUAAACUCAUGCACACUUGUACAAGAAAAGAUAAAUACCUUUAAGAUCAAUUGCAUCAUCACAAUCACUUUUGAUAUCAUUGAAAGUUGAAACAACGUUGAGGUUUAGACAUUUUCUGUUUUUUUUUUUAGCAAUAGACAUUUUUUGUUUAAUUCCAACAAUUUCCCUUUUUCUUAAAGGCUUAAAUGUAGUUUUAAUUCUUUUAGAGUGUGUUUGGAUGGGGGAAUGUUUUGACGGAAUGUAAUGUUUUGAAGGAAUUUAAAUACUUUGAUGUGAACUCCAUUGUUUGGAUUAAGAAUUUGAAGAAUUUUCAAAAUGAUGAAAAUUUAUGAAGUAUUUUGUUCAAGUUAAAUUUAGAGAAUUUCAAAUGACACCUAAAAGUUAAGAAUUUCAAAAUUCUUCAUUGUUAUAAUCUUUCAAAUUUUGCACUUUGGUCCUCAAAUUUUACAAAAUUUCCAAAUUGACCCCAAUAAAUUUAUAAAAAAUUGCAAAUUAACCCCUCAAAUUUUUUCAAAAAUUAUAAUUUGACCCUCAAAUUUUUGAAAUUUGCAAAUUGACCCCUAAUUUUAUUUUUCAAAUUUGGCCCAAAAAAAAUCAAAUUUAUAAAAGUUGCCUAAAAAUGAUGACAAUAAUUUUUUUAUUACUUCAUCCAAACAAUAAUAUUUAGGAAUGAAAGCAAUUGAAUCAUUUGAAUUACCAAGAAUUCUAAAUUCUUCAAAAUUUCUCAAUUACCUCAUCCAAACACACUCUUAUUUUUACAAUUUUGUGGAAUGGACUCCUCUAUUUUUAAAAUGGAUGGUUUUGGUCUCUCCAUCAACUAUUUAAUAUGGUGAUACGACAUGUUUAAAAUAAUACUUUAAAUAAAAUUUUAUUGAUGUUGAUCUUUUUCAUCAUCAGAUCAGAUACCACAUCACUAUGUUGAAAGGAUCAAAACCGACAUAUUUUAAAAUAGGGACACCAAAUCGACAAAAUUGUGAAACUUGGUUGAUCAAAUUGCAAUUCAAAGCAUGUGGCAUGGUGAUAGUUUUUUUUUUUUAUAUAAUAACUUUUAGAUGAUAAACUCCGUGAGCAAAAAUGUGAUAGUUUUAAAAUUAUAAACAUUUGGUAUUAAUUAAAUGAUGUAUACGAUAAAUCUUUCAUACUAUUUGACAUAAUUUGGAAGAUUUAUAAACAAUUUAGUGAAGAAGAUUCUCCUUAAUUUGGAAGACGUUUGGGAUUAUUUGAGACUGAUAGAGUCUAUGGAAUUAUGUUGAUAUUUACAUUAUGAUAUUUUCAUGUUUAUGAGAUUAAUAAUGUUAGUUUAUUUCUUGUUCUUUGGUUGGGUAAUUGAAUCAUCGUAUGUGUAAUUAUGUUUUAAAGCCACUUUGCACAUCUUAUUCACUCGUGAUCAAUAAUAUUAAUCAAUAAGAAAACUGCUUAUAUACAAAAAAAACAUCAAUCUACAUUAAACUCAGAAGAGUGGAUCACAAUAUUAUUUUACAAUAAAUACAAUCAGUAAAAAGUAAAAGCACUACAGUUGCCAUCAAACCCAAUGCCACAUUGUUUCCCGAAGACUUCACCUCAAUACUAUAGAAUCUCCAUGUAUUCCUUUGAGAAACAGAAACUCAAUUAGUACACACUUAAGUCAAAAUGUGAAUUAAUAUCCCUUUUCUGAAAGGUAAACAAAAACACAUUAAAAUGAUAUACAAGAAAUAAUGUAUGAGGCGUUUCCAAGACCAAAUGGUAUUGAAUAAAACCCAUCAAUCAGGAUCACCACACAAUCAAUUUGGCGUCCGAGCCAUUACACUAAAAGGAACAAUUUAUCCUUCAGAAUUGGUAAAUGGACGCAAUACUUAACAUGUUUCAAAACAAUAUAGAUGUAUAAUUAAUGUUUGAACUAAAAAUUCCAUGUUGUAAUUCGAUGAGGUCAGAACCUGUAAUACAAACUCAAGAUAAAAAUAAAUAUCACAAGAAAUUUAUAGAGUGCUCAGUGGAAGGAGAAGUCGUUUUAAAAAUAAGCUCACGGCAAAACCUUUACGAUUUUGUCCACUGCCCAUAAACACUUCCUUGGUGUUUUUAUCUCAUCAUAGCACCAAUUAACAUAUAAUUAUAUCAGAAGAACAAAUAACAAAUGAUUCAAAACUAUAAUAUUUUGAAAAACAAAAAAUUAUAUAAAAAGAAUGGCUUCAGUGUGUGUAACAUUCAGAUCAUUGAUAUAAAAUCUCACUGAAAUCCGCUAAGAUAAGGUAUAUUAUCAUCAUAAGCCACUAUUAGACAAAAAAUUAACAGAAAAUAAUUAUCAUUGAUAUUGGAAAAUUGUGUGCUCAGACAGCCAAGGGGUUGUAAUCAGAUUCUGGGUGAAGAUUCCCAGAUCAGAAACUCUAGUCCACAUAAGUAUCAUCACCGCACAAUAAUAUUCAACAUAAAAUACAUAAGAAACAAAACAAAAACUAAUUGAAAUUAAGAUUUUCAGUAUUUGAUAAUCAGAAGAACUAAAAAAAAACAAAAAAAAUGCAGAUGAGAAAUGAUGAAGGAGAAGUUGUUGCUGGGUAGAUGGGGCUGUAGUUUAGAAUAUAUAGGCAGUGGAGUGAAGGGCGAUGCUCAAACUAGGGUUUUCUAAUGAGUGGGCGGAACUGCUAGGUUUUGGUAGCUUAGUGUGGGCUUGGAUCUUAAGCUUCAAAUUGGAGGCCCAUAUCACUACUUUUAGAAAAUUGCUCUUUCCACUUUAAAAAUUGCUCACCCACACUAUAAAAUUAUGCUUUUACCCCCAACGACAACUAAUUUAUGAAGGUAGAAGUAUUUAUAAAUGUCAACUAAGACACAAAUUGGUUUGUCUAAGCACAUGUAACGCAUAACCACAAUUCUAAAAGUUACCUUCAACUUCAAUUGGGAACACUUUCCCACUUAUUAAUUGAAUUAAUAUCAUCAUGACUUAGUAUUUUAUAUAGUAGGUCUAUGGUUUUGGCCCUUGAUACCAAUAAGCGUAUUAUGAGAAGUUAUCAUUGGAUCGGUCUUGAAUUCAUGUGGGCCUUUGAUCAAAUCAAAUUUAGGACAUGUUCCUACUAUGAUCCGCAUGCAUAUAAGCUUUGAAGGGUACAUUGCUCCAGUCAAGGAUUGAGCUUUAGUCCAGUCCAAAACACAAUAUUAACAUUGUUUAAAAAAAAACGAAUGAGAUAAUUCAAUUUAAAUUAAAGAUUUAAUUACCAUGUAGUAGUGACUAAGGAUGUUCAAAUUCGAACCGAUCCAAAAUAAAACCGCAAAUCGAUCCAAAAAACUCAAAGACCGCAAAAAUUUUGAUAUUAUUGGAUGCUUUUAGAUGUUGUUUUAUAAAAACCGAUAGGAUCGGAUUAGGUUUCAUAUCACUUUCUCAAAACUGAACCGUAAAAGUAAAUAUCAAUACUUAUUUUUUAUUUUAUUUUUAUAAAUAUCAAUACUUAUUUAUUUUUUUAUUAGUAUUGUAAAUUUUAUUUUUUUUUGAGAGAAUUAGUAUUGUAAAUUGAAUUGUUAUUUUCCUUGUUAGUUUUUAAUAUAUUGCACUAAUUUAAUCAAUAUUAUUCUACCUCCAAACAGCAUCGCAAACACCCCUAGCAGUAACCACAAUGUAAAAUGAUUAGAUAUGUUUAAUUUUAUUACAGUCAAUGCAAAAUUGAAAAAAUUAUUGAUCUCUUAAAUUAAUUAGAUAGAUUAGUUUUUUAUUUUAUUUUUAAGAUUAGUUAUUUGUAUUCUAUUUAUACAAAUACCUUUUUUUCUUUCUUUUGCCUGCAUCUAUCGAAAUGUCUGACUUAAAAUUUCAAUUCAUUUUUUAUCCGAAUGCAAACAUAAGUUUUUUUUUUUUUUUGAAUGGCACAAUAAUAAUAUAUAAAGAGAGAAAAAGAGGGAUCAAAUCCUGAAUAGUACAAAUACAGAGAUACAAAUAAAAGAAAAAAAUGCAAAAAGGAUGCUAGGCUCGGAGUACCAGAGGUACUCAAACGAAAAGAAGCCAAGAAGCACCAAACAAUAACCACGCUAAACAAAUCUAAGGAACAAAAACAACUACAACAAAAAGAAAACACCUCGACAAAAGGCCAGAUAGAAGCAAAUGGCACACCACAACCCCCCAGAAGAGAGCCAGGACCCACAACCCAAACACCCUACCGGAACCAGCACAGGAUAGGUUGCGCCUCCCACUCGUAUAAGGAAAAAAGGCUGACAGAGCUCUUACCCAGGAACCACUUCCAAGAUGAGAGUUUUACCUUAUCCACUAAAAGAUCGACAGGUGGAGCCCUCCCGCAAAAAUUAUAUCAUUACGAGAGUUCCAAACAGCCCACACAACAGCAAGCCAAACCAAAAUUAAACUAAGAGAAACUUUCUUACCCGAUCCCAACGCCACAAAACUAAGAAAACUACCUAAAAUAUUCGAGUGAGGCACUAACUCCCAAACUGUAACACUUCUAUUUCUAUUAAAGCAAUUAAACAUGCGACUAAUACAUUUAUUCAAGAAAUAGAGGCUACGCCACAUUCAAAAUUCAAAAACCAAAGGACAUGUAUAUAAACCUCAACAGUUGCAGCGGAAUAUAAACCAGAGUAAAUCCAAGUAUACAUGUUAUGAAUCAAUAAAUUACAUCAACAUAGAUGCAUCUCAAAAAUCCCAACAAACGGGUAAUCUCCAAACAUAACAAAAUCCAAAAUAAACUAAUCUAGACCGACACAACGAAGCCUAGAUCAGAGCCGACUAAACAUCUAAACACCGAUAUCGGAGAAAACUCCUGAUAUCCUCCAAGCAUAAAAACUCACCAAGCAUCUAAUCCUGCACAACGUCUACCCAUCCAUACAGAUAGGCAUACAGUUCAUAACAGAUCCACUGGGGGUAAGUAUUACAUCAUCAUAAUCUAAAUAAUAGUUAACAUGGAUAUUUCAAUUUAAAACAUCAUGCACUUGAUCAAUAAUAAUCACACAUUAAUACUUACAUCACACCCCGAUAUCUUACAUCUAUAUUCAUCAAUCAUAUGAACAAUUAUCAAUUUACAAAUAUUCAUUCACAAUCACCAAUCACAUUUAUCAUGAAUAAUCAUUAAUCACAUUUCAUGAACAAUCACCAAUUACAUGUAUCAUGAAUAAUCAUCAAUUAACAAUUAUUCAUACACAAUCACCAAUCAUAUGCAUCAUGAACAAUCACCGAUCAUAUACAUCAUGAACAAUCACCAAUCACCAAUCAUAAGCCAUGAACAAUCAUUAAUCAUAUUUCAUGAACAAUUAUCAAUUCACAAAUAUUCAUUCACAAUCUCCAAUCACAUUUCAAAAUAAGCCAUCAUGUCAUGAUAUGCACUUAUUGACACAUAAAAUCUCCAAUCACAUUUCAAAAUAAGCCAUCAUGUCAUGAUAUGCACUUAUUGACACAUAAAUGCAUGUGGUACCAAAUCUUCAAAAGGUCGUCACCUCCGAUGGACAAGCCAACAUCGUAUGUAAGGGUUCACCCCCGCCUUACAUAAUCUCCGAAGUAAAAGAGCUCAACCCUUUUACAACAACUCGACUAUGAUGCAUGGACAUGUAACAAGACUCGAUAAUGCGACAACAAUCACAAUUUUCUCCACAAUAUAUAGGACGACACCCAAUUAUAUUGUUCAUCUCCACAUCAUUUGCAUUAUCAAGAAAACAUGCCCAUACACAAAUAAAUCAUAGUAUUCACUAUCACACAUCAACAUGAUUAUCAAUAAUCAACAAUGUCAUUCAACAUCAACUAUCACAUAUAGUUUCACCAUUUCAAGCAUUCCUUACAUUCUAAGUAAGAUCACAUACAUAUCUCAUGAUAAACAUCAUAUCCAAUACAAUCAUUCAUUCAUACAACUUCACUUAGCCAUAUAAGAAUAGUCACCACAAUUCAUAAGACAAUUAGUUCAAGAAACAUUUCCGACCAAAGACCGUGUCAAGUGGCAAACGGCCAACAUUGACAAUUCCCAAGACAAAACAACAUAGACAAAUUGAGAACCUUCAAACAAUCUUAAUCGACAAUGUAAUCAUGAAGUUAAGUCGCCUCCGGAUCAUUAACGUUAAUCCAAGCACCACUUAAGUUCAUAUGAAAAUCCCAUUUUCACAACCUUUCACAUUCCCACCCGAAAUAUCAUUUUUGACAUGAUUAAGACGUUUGACCAACCAUACAAGUCCUACCUAAGUCUAUAAGAGCUGUAGGUUUAACUUGUAAUCCUAUUUAGUUCACAAAAGUUCAUUUGGACAAAAUCAUCAAAAUUACCAAAUUACGGCAAGUUCAUAUCAUUUCUUCCAUAUUGCAAAACCAAUUCAUUUUCAAAACAAAACCAAGUUAGAAUCAAGCUAUGAUACUCUUAGAAGCUUAAUUAUAAAUUGAUUGAAUGAGGUUAGAUGUUUGGAAUCCAUUGGCAUGCUUAAAAGUACACAAAAACACGAAAAAAUAAGGUUUUGGAAUUAUACAGGACUGACACGGUCGUGCCAUCAGGAAGCACGGUCGUGCCAUCUAGACGCACGGUCGUGUCACCUCACCAGUACAGCAAAAUGCAUUUUUACGUUUUUGCGCAUAAAAUCUUGUUUUCGAAUCCGAUUUCAGUUCCGUUUUCGCCAAUGCAUUCCUAACACUUAGACCAUACAUACCACACUUGAAAACUUGACAUUUAAACAUUAAAACAACUUAAUCAAACUCAUCCCAAAAUGACUUAUUUUGCAAAAGCACUUAAAAACCACUUUUACUCAAAAACCCGUUUUCUUCCCAAAACGAUUUCUCUCCAAAACCAAGUGAUUAAAACAGAAAAUCAUACCAUCCUAAUUCAUUCUAACAACUUCCUUAUCUCAUUCAACAUCAUCAAAAUCAAACUUCUUCUUUAUCAACCCAUUUUACAAAACCACCAACAACAACUCAUUUUCUCAACAACAAUCAUGAUAUAUGAACACCCAAGCCAUAAUUCAUAAUCAACAACAUAUCUCAGCAACAACAACAUCAAUUGAAACUUGAUUCACACCUCAAUUCAACAACAACAUGUCAUAAGUCAUCAAUUAAGCAUAAUUUCACAACAACCCAUUUUCAUACAUUAUGAACAUGUUAUUUCAUCACCAACAAUUCAUUUAUCAUUCAAUUAACAUACUCAAACUUAUCACCAAAACAAGAGCACGAAAAUUAGAGAUUGGGUUCAUAUGAAUUCUCACUCAAUUAAGCACUUUUUCAUACAAACCAAGAAAAAUUGCAAACAAACAAUUAUGAUUAUGAUGAAGACUAACCCCCUUACCUUAGGUUAUGAUCAAUUCAAACUUGAGCUUCACUUUAGCUCAUAAUUCUCCAAUCUUCAAGUUUUCCCCCUUUGCUAACCCUUGUUCUUCCUUUCACUCACUUUCUCUCUCUACCUCUCUCUAACUUUGUGAAAUGAAAUGAAUGAAUGAAUUUCUCUCCAAGUUUAGGUUUAGGUAUGCUACAACUCAAUUGGGCUCAAUUCUAGACCCUAGUGGGCUUAACCCAUUCUAACACAAUUCUAAAAAGUUUCUAUACACUCAACGGUAAUUACUAACAACGGUAAAACAUAACCAACAGUCACUAAACGGUAAAAACUAAUCACUACACUAGUAACUUAGUAAAAUAAGGGUUCUUACUAAAUAUUAAAAAUAAUUCACACCAAAAUUACCAUUUUACCCUUACCCGCCAAAUGACCAAAAUAUCGUUCUAUUACGGAAAUCCAUGAAAAUACACCCAAUGAUGAUUAAUCACACACAAACACAUAAAACACAUAAUAAAAGUAAUUAAAAUAAAUCUAGCGAAAAAUCAGGCUGUUACACAAACCACCUAGAAAAGUGAUGAUCCAAGUAGAUGUGGCACAACAUAAUGCAAUUGAUCAUUGUUGAGGUGCGGUUCAACUUGACCGGAGCAGGAUCAUGUACCCGCAAAUACAUCAUACACUCGUGUCAAUAAGUUCAAGGAGUUUUGAUGUAUUUUCUCCGUUGUGCAUUUGUUUUUGCAGUAAGUUGUUCUAUUUAUAGAUUGUUGUGCAUGCCCCGUAGGCCAAGCGACCUUUUAAUCCUUUGGGUGGCUUAUAUUAGCUCUAAGCAGCUUAUUUCGUGUGGUGCAACUAUUUGCUGACGUAGGUAGUCUGUAUUUAGACUUAGAAUCAUGCUCUUUACUCAACACAUUUUGCACAACUUAAGUAUUGCAACGUGAGUUAAGUCACACGGAGUGACUUAACUGACCUUUUCUAAUUUAUUUACUAUAUUCAAAUUAUUUUAUUUACUUUAUUCUAAUUUAUUUAUUUACGUUAUUCUAAUUUAUUUAUUUACUUUAUUCUAUUUGUUCACUUUAUUCUAAUUUAUUUGUUUACUUUAUACUAAUUUAUUUAUUUACGUUAUUCUAAUUUAUUUAUUCACAUAAAAUAAAUAUUUAUUCAAAUUUAUUCAUUAAAUAAGUGCAAAUAUAAAAGGAAAUAAAAAUAAAUGAACUAAAUUAAUAUUUAUUUGAAUUUAUUCAUUAAAUAAAUGCAAAUAUAAUAUAAAUAAAAAUAAAUGAACUAAAUUAAUAUUUAUUUGGAUUUAUUCAUUAAAUACAAAAUCAAAAAAUAAAUAAAAAGAAAUGAACAAAACUAAUACAUAUAACAACAUCUAAUUUUAUUAAAAGAAUUCAUACAAUAAUUGAUACAUUUAUUCGAAUUCACUAAAUCUACUUAUUUUCUUUUUACCCUCUUGGGGUAAAAAGUGAUCAGACUUGGGUAAAUAGUGAGCAGAUUUCUUGGGAAAAAUACAUCAUUAACCAUUGGGUUGAAUCUAAAUCUGGUUCUUUUUAUACCCCAAGAAGAUUCUUUUUACCCACGGUAAAAAGUUUUUGGGGGUAAAAAGAAGCAAAUUUAAUUUUAUCUCAAGGGUUGAUCACUUCCUUAAGUCAGCUACUCACUAUUUACCUCAAAAUUGACCACUUUAUACCUCAAAGGAGUAAAAUGAGACUAGAGAUUAUUGAAAAAAAAAAAAAAGAGAAAUAGAGGGAGUGUGAGGAGGGAGAGAAAGUGAUAUGGUGUGAGGAAAUAGAGAAGUAUGAAAGGGUAUUUAUAGGUGGAAAUGGUAGUAUAUGUUAUAACAAUCAUAAAUGUGGUCAAAAAAAUGUGUAAGCAUGGUAAAAAAACAUGUAUAUUGAAGGUUGAAAGCUGACCCAAAUCCAAAAAACGUGUGUUUUUGAGCUCUGACCAACCCGUCAACCUGCGUGAGUUAACUCGCACCCAUGCCAAUGGUGCGUGAGUUAAGCCACGCUUCGUGACUUAACUCAUGCAGGGGUAUUUUCGAAAGUUCAGCUGAAUGAGAUGAAUUUUACUGGGAGAAGAGCAGAAUUCUUAGACUUAUAUAUGUAUCUCGUUGGACCUUUUACUUCAGGAUUGCGAAUGGACCUUUUUCUUCAAUUUCAUAAAAGAAACAUAC